GGUCAUGAGUGCCAGCGACAAGCCCCGGCUCGCUGGCCGGCAACCCUCCUACCGCGGUGGGGUGCCCCGGGUGAGGACCUGGCCCACGGACUCCCGUCCGCGGGCAAGCGCGGAGG
rnacentral:ncRNA from 2 species